rnacentral:rRNA from 1 species
UAAAUAUUUUCUGCCCGGUGAAUUUUAAACGGCCGCGGUACUCUGACCGUGCAAAGGUAGCAUAAUCAUUUGCCUCUUGAUUGGGGGCUAGAAUGAAUGGAAGUAUCGAGACUUUCGCUGUCUCUUUUUUUGUUUUGGAAAUUGCUGUUUUUGUGAAGAAGCAUUGGUUUGGGAGAAAGACAAGAAGACCCUAUUAAACUUAAUUAUUUUGUUUUAAGUAUUAUAAACAUUGUUUAAGCACAAAAUAAUUUGGUUGGGGUGAUGAAAAAAGAGUGAAAAUCUUUUUUUUUUUUAGAGAACAUAAUGGUUUAAGGAGGUUAAUGAGGUGUUUAGAAAAAAUGAAAAGUUACUAUAGGGAUAACAGCGUAAUUUUUUCUGAGAGUUCUUAUCGAAGAAAGAGAUUGCGACCUCGAUGUUGACUUGUUGUUUCCUGUUGGUGCAGAAGCUUUAAGGGUUAGUCUG